GACGAACGCUGGCGGCGUGCUUAACACAUGCAAGUCGAACGAUGAAGAAAAGAAUCGAAGCUUCGGCAGAAAUUCAUUUCGGAUUAGUGGCAGACGGGUGAGUAACGCGUGAGCAACCUACCUCUUACAAAGGGAUAGCCUCGGGAAACCGGGAUUAAUACCAUAUAACAUUGCGACGAAGCAUUUCGAUGCAAUCAAAGCUACGGAGGUAAGAGAUGGGCUCGCGUCCCAUUAACCGGAUGGUGAGGUAACGGCCCACCAUAGUGACGAUGGGUAACCGGCCUGAGAAGGUGAACGGUCACACUGGAACUGAGACACGGUCCAGACUCCUACGGGAGGCAGCAGUGGGGAAUAUUGCACAAUGGAGGGAACUCUGAUGCAGCGACGCCGCGUGAGUGAUUAAGGAAUUCGUUUCGUAAAACUCUGUUCUAUGGGAAGAAAAGGACGGUACCAUAGGAGAAAGCUCCGGCUAAAUACGUG
rnacentral:rRNA from 1 species